CUGAUGUGUUUUCCCAGAAGACCUCAAUUUUGAAAUGUCUAACAGCCCCAGACUUAACGCACUUGACUGGAAGAUGGGAAAACUUUCUUCUUACAAGGCAGAGUGGGGAAUGUAAACCCUCUUCAUACACCCCAGUGACAACUACGAUGAGACCAUUCAGUUGUAUACAAGCGAAUAAACAAAAUAUAUGGGAGUGUACACAGGUACAGCCUUGAAACAACAGCUUCCUUUCCAGGAUCAGUCUAAGAAGUAGCCUACAAGAGGAAGAUUUUCUAUCCCUAUUACCAGCCCCUCAGUCUGCAAACCUAUGAUGAUGCAAACACAUCUGUGUGUGCUUUUCUGCACUUUGUAAUAAAUUUAUAGAGAUUAAAAAUAAAAAAUGAAUU
rnacentral:lncRNA from 14 species